rnacentral:rRNA from 1 species
UACAGAGGGCUCAAGCGUUGUUCGGAUUCAUUGGGCGUAAAGGGCGCGUAGGCGGCGCGGUAAGUCGGGUGUGAAAUUUCGAGGCUUAACUUCGAAACUGCAUUCGAUACUGCCGUGCUAGAGGACUGGAGAGGAGACUGGAAUUUACGGUGUAGCGGUGAAAUGCGUAGAUAUCGUAAGGAAGACCAGUGGCGAAGGCGGGUCUCUGGACAGUUCCUGACGCUGAGGCACGAAGGCCAGGGGAGCAAACGGG